rnacentral:rRNA from 1 species
GAUGAACGCUAGCAGAACGCCUAACACAUGCAAGUCGAACGAAUUUGUAGCAAUACAAGUUAGUGGCAAACGGGCGAGUAACGCGUAUCUAACCUGCCCUUGAGUGAGGCACAACUAUGGAGACAUAGCUAAUUCCUCAUACGCUCUAGAGAAUGAAAAUAUCUAGAGGAAAGAUUUAUCGCUCAAAGAGGGGGGUGCGUCCUAUCAGGUAGUUGGUGAGGUAAUGGCUCACCAAGCCUAUGACGGGUAGCCGGUCUGAGAGGAUGUCCGGCCGCAAUGGGACUGAGAAACGGCCCAUACUCCUACGGGAGGCAGCAGUGGGGAAUAUUGGACAAUGGGCGCAAGCCUGAUCCAGCCAUGCCGCGUGAGUGAUGAAGGCCUUAGGGUUGUAAAGCUCUUUCACCGAUGAAGAUAAUGACGGUAGUCGGAGAAGAAGCCCCGGCUAACUUCGUGCCAGCCGCCGCCGUAA